CAGUCGCCACGGUAAUACGGAGGGUGCAAGCGUUAAUCGGAAUUACUGGGCGUAAAGCGUGCGUAGGUGGUGGUUUAAGUCCGUUGUGAAAGCCCUGGGCUCAACCUGGGAAUUGCAGUGGAUACUGGGUCACUAGAGUGUGGUAGAGGAUAGUGGAAUUUCCGGUGUAGCAGUGAAAUGCGUAGAGAUCGGAAGGAACAUCUGUGGCGAAGGCGACUAUCUGGGCCAACACUGACACUGAGGCACGAAAGCGUGGGGAGCAAACAGGAUUAGAUACCCCAGUAGUCCCUGUCUCUUAUAC
rnacentral:rRNA from 1 species